GGGGCUGUAGCUCAGUGGCAGAGCGCUUGCCUGGUAUGUGUGAGGCACUGGGUUCAAUCCUCAGCACCA
rnacentral:tRNA from 1 species